rnacentral:rRNA from 1 species
GACGAACGCUGGCGGCGUGCUUAACACAUGCAAGUCGAACGGAAAGGCCCUGAUUUUGUGGGGUGCUCGAGUGGCGAACGGGUGAGUAAAACGUGAGUAACCUGCCCUUGACUUUGGGAUAACUUCAGGAAAAUGCGGAUAAUACAGGAUAGGAUCUCCUGCUGCAUGGUGGGGGUUGGAAAGUUACGGCGGUUGGGGCUGGACUAGCGGCUUAUCAGCUGGUUGGUGGAGUAGUGGCUGACAAAGUCUUUGACGGGUAGCCGGCCUGAGAGGGUGACCGGGCACAUUGGUACUGCGAGACGGCCCAGACGCCUACGGGAGGCAGCAGUGGGGAGUAUUGCACAGUGGGCGGAAGCCUGAUGCAGCAGCGCCGCGUGCGGGAAGACGGCCUUCGGGUGGUAAACCGCUGUCGCCUGUGACGAAGCGUGAGUGACGGUAAUGGGUAAAGAAGCACCGGCUAACUACGUG